UUUCGUGUUAAAGUGUCUGUGUCCUGCUUCCCCCUUCCAGGGAUUUUAUCCUGUGUUUGUCUCAGAUGGAUUGCCUGGCUCUUCGGAUCUUGGACUACCCCCUGACUACCCACCUGGACCUGCCAGGACGGACGUCUAAGGCUGGUUUCCCCUGCACACCGGAUCACAAACUGUAACCCCUCAGUGCCUUCACAAAAAAAAUUCAGGUGACAAACUCACACCAAUUAAGUCUCCAGAAACCAAGGAGUGUGGAGGCAGCAUCUUUCCUUUCCAAGGGUCUGAAUGUAAUGUUGGAUACACUUAGAAGAUGGGUGGAUGGUACAGGAAUGCUUGGACCACAGAAAUAUCCAACCAGCCCAACCAGAGAUGCCCAGGCCAAAUCCCCAAAAUCUCUGAGUUGACUGAUUCAUCUCCAGUCCCUUAUCAGGCAAUUAUCAUACUUGAAAUUGUGUUUUGAGUGCUUUUGAAAUAAAUAAAAACAAGAGAAACAGAGGUGAUUUGCCUGGCUAAAGAUAUAGAAGAUGAUAGCUGAACAGGAUCCUAGGAGUCAAUUGUACCAGAAAAAAGUGUAUCAGAAGAAACAGAAAAGUGUAAAAAUUCACAACAAUAAGCCCCAUAAUUUCCCCCUACAAUUCACUGUGUUAUUGUAACAUUGAAAAGGGGUCCACUAAGUGCUGAGUUAGAGUGUUGUAAGGCUGGAGCAAAGUGUCAGGACACCGAUGGUUAUACAAAAAGACAAUAAAGCUUCCUGCGUGAUGUCUCUGAGGGACUGGCAACUUUCAGGACAGUUAUUACUUGACUAAACCCUUCAUUUCAACUUUUUAUAAAAUUCCAGAUUCUCCCAAGAUGUUUCAUUGUUUCUU
rnacentral:lncRNA from 1 species